UACGGAGGGGGCUAGCGUUGUUCGGAAUUACUGGGCGUAAAGCGCGCGUAGGCGGACCUGCAAGUCGGGGGUGAAAGCCCGAGGCUCAACCUCGGAACUGCCUUCGAUACUGCGGGUCUCGAGUCCGGGAGAGGUGAGUGGAAUUCCUAGUGUAGAGGUGAAAUUCGUAGAUAUUAGGAAGAACACCAGUGGCGAAGGCGGCUCACUGGCCCGGUUCUGACGAUGAGGCGCGAAAGAGUGGGGAGCAAACAGG
rnacentral:rRNA from 1 species